rnacentral:rRNA from 1 species
UACGGAGGGUGCGAGCGUUGUCCGGAAUCACUGGGCGUAAAGGGCGCGUAGGCGGCUUGGCAAGUGGAGGGUGAAAUCCCUCGGCUUAACCGAGGAACUGCCCUCCAAACUGCUUCGCUUGAGACCGGGAGAGGUGAGUGGAAUUCCCAGUGUAGCGGUGAAAUGCGUAGAUAUUGGGAGGAACACCAGUGGCGAAGGCGGCUCACUGGACCGGUACUGACGCUGAUGCGCGAAAGCGUGGGGAGCAAACGGG